UACAGAGGGGGCAAGCGUUGUUCGGAAUUACUGGGCGUAAAGGGCGCGUAGGCGCCUUCUAAGUCGAACGUGAAAUCCCUGGGCUCAACCCAGGAACUGCGUCCGAUACUGGAAGGCUUGAAUCCGGGAGAGGGAUGCGGAAUUCCAGGUGUAGCGGUGAAAUGCGUAGAUAUCUGGAGGAACACCGGUGGCGAAGGCGGCAUCCUGGACCAACACUGACGCUGAGUGAGCGAAAGCCAGGGGAGCAAACGGG
rnacentral:rRNA from 1 species